rnacentral:rRNA from 1 species
AGAGUUUGAUCCUGGCUCAGGAUAAACGCUGGCGGCGCACAUAAGACAUGCAAGUCGAACGAACUUAACCAUUAGUUUACUAUUGGAGCGGUUAGUGGCGGACUGGUGAGUAACACGUAAGCAACCUGCCUAUCAGAGGGGAACAACAGUUAGAAAUGACUGCUAAUACCGCAUAUGCCUUAGAAUCACAUGGUUCAAAAGGGAAAGGAGCAAUCCGCUGAUAGAUGGGCUUGCGUCUGAUUAGCUAGUUGGUGGGUAACGCCUACAGGCGACGAUCAGUAGCCGAACUGAGAGGUUGAACGGCCACAUUGGGACUGAGAUACCGGCCCAGACUCCUACGGGAANCA